rnacentral:rRNA from 1 species
AUUGAACGCUGGCGGCAGGCCUAACACAUGCGAGUCGAGCGGAUGAAGCGAGCUUGCUCCUGGAUUCAGCGGCGGACGGGUGAGUAAUGCCUAUGAAUCUGCCUUGUAGUGGGGGAUAACGUCCGGAAACGGGCGCUAAUACCCCAUACGUCCUGAUGGCGCAAGUGGGGGAUCUUCGGACCUCACGCUAUCAGAUGAGCGUAGGUCGGAUUAGCUAGUUGGUGGGGUAAAGGCCUACCAAGGCGACGAUCCGAAACUGGUCUGAGAGGAUGAUCAGUCACCCUGGAAGUGAGACACGGUCCAGACUCCUACGGGAGGCAGCAGUGGGGAAUAUUGGACGAUGGGCGAAAGCCUGAUCCAGCCAUGCCGCGUGUGGGAAGAAGGUCUUCGGAUUGUAAAGCACUUUAAGUUGGGAGGAAGGGCAGUAAGUUAAUACCUUGCUGUUUUGACGUUACCAACAGAAUAAGCACCGGCUAACUUCGUG